GACGAACGCUGGCGGCGUGCCUAAUACAUGCAAGUCGAACGCUGAAGAGAGGAGCUUGCUCUUCUUGGAUGAGUGGCGGACGGGUGAGUAACGCGUAGGUAACCUGCCUUGUAGCGGGGGAUAACUACGGGAAACGAUAGCUAAUACCGCAUAACAAUGGAUACCACAUGUCAUUUAUUUGAAAGGGGCAAUUGCUCCACUACAAAGUGGACCUGCGUUGUCUUAGCUAGUAGGGGAGGUAAUGGCCCACCUAGGCGACGAUACCUAGCCGACCUUAGAGGGUGGUCCGCCACACCGGGACUGAGACACCGCCCCGGCCCCUACGGGAGGCAGCAGUAGGGGAUCCUCGGCAAUUGGGGCAACCCUGACCGAGCCACGCCGCGGUGGUUGAGAAGGGUCUCGGGUCGGAAAGCCUCGUUGUUAGUCAAGAACGGGUGUGGGAGUUGAAAGUGCACACUGUGACGGUAGCUAACCAGAAAGCGACGGCUAACUACGUG
rnacentral:rRNA from 1 species